rnacentral:rRNA from 1 species
UACCCGCAGCUCAAGUGGUGGUCAUUAUUUUUGGGCCUAAAGCGUCCGUCGCUGGCUUGUUAGAUGCCUGGGUAAAUCGCUGCGCUUAACGCAUCGAAUUCCGGGUAGACCGGCAAGCUCGAGACCGGGAGAGGCGUGAGCUACUCGAGGGGUAGGGGUAAAAUCCUGUAAUCCUUCGGGGAGGACCAGUGGCGAAGGCGUCACGCUAGAACGGCUCUGACAGUGAGGGACGAAGCCCUGGGGCGCAAACCGG